rnacentral:rRNA from 1 species
UACGAAGGGUGCAAGCGUUAUCCGGAUUCAUUGGGUUUAAAGGGCGCGUAGGUGGUCUUAUAAGUCAGUGGUGAAAUCUCGCAGCUUAACUGCGAAACUGCCAUUGAUACUGUAGGACUUGAGUAUAGUUGCUGUGGGCGGAAUAUGACAUGUAGUGGUGAAAUACUUAGAGAUGUCAUAGAACACCGAUUGCGAAGGCAGCUCACAAAACUAUAACUGACACUGAGGCUCGAAAGUGCGGGGAUCAAACAGG